rnacentral:rRNA from 1 species
AGGUUACCCCCCUUACUGCACCCCGCCCUUUCAUUUGAUGCAACACUGGAAAACACGCCCGCCCCGAUCACCCUUCCGAUCGACUGAUUGACAUAUCUUUCCUGAUUCUUAGGGUGGUGGUGCAUGGCCGUUCUUAGUUGGUGGACUGUUUGUCUGGUUAAUUCCGAUAUUAAAGACAACUCUGGCCUACUAACGGUGAUCCCCCUGGCCAGUGGUCCUUCGCUGCUUCAUAAAGGCACCCGCGAACUUCACCCGCAGGAGAAUGACCAGUAUCAAGUCUGGGAUGCCCUUACCUGUUCUGGGCUGCACGCGCCCUACUCUGAAAGAAUCAAAGAGUGGGCUCAGCUCGAAAGGACUGAAAAACCCGUUGAACCUCCUUUAACAUGAUGAUUGGGGAAAUAAAUUUGUCCCCAUGAACAAUGAAUUCCCAGAUCGUCCCCUACAUCCUUUUGACGCAAUAAGCCCCCUGCCCUUUGUACACCCCACCCGUCACUACUGCCGAUUACUGGAUUAACUGGA